rnacentral:rRNA from 1 species
AGCGAACGCUGGCGGCAGGCUUAACACAUGCAAGUCGAGCGCCCCGCAAGGGGAGCGGCAGACGGGAGAGUAACACGUGGGAACAUACCUUUUGGUUCGGAACAACUGAGGGAAACUUCAGCUAAUACCGGAUAAGCCCUUACGGGGAAAGAUUUAUCGCCGAAAGAUUGGCCCGCGUCUGAUUAGCUAGUUGGUGAGGUAACGGCUCACCAAGGCGACGAUCAGUAGCUGGUCUGAGAGGAUGAUCAGCCUCACUGGGACUGAGACACGGCCCAGACUCCUACGGGAGGCAGCAGUGGGGAAUAUUGGACAAUGGGGGCAACCCUGAUACAGCCAUGCCGCGUGAGUGAUGAAGGCCUUAGGGUUGUAAAGCUCUUUUGCCCGGGAAGAUAAUGACGGUACCGGGAGAAUAAGCCCCGGCUAACUUCGUG